rnacentral:misc_RNA from 1 species
UAUUCUAGUAUCGCAUUUGAAAAAUUGUUUCAAAUUUUGUCUUUUUGCCAUUUGCCUAUCCUUACUUUUUUGCCAUGUAAUUGUGAUAAAUAUAGGACAAAUAGCUAUUAGUGUAUGUAGAAUACAUAAAAAGGAAGAUUUUUAAAUAUAUCAACACACUUAGAUUUGUAUGUAUUUUAUAGAUUGUGAGUAUAUUUUGGUUUUUCUGACAGAGACAUUACAUAAAUUUGUCAUAGAAAACCUAUUUUUCUUACUAAAGUUGUAAAUGAAAAAAAAGUUUUUGCAUAGAUUGGGCAUAAGUCUUAUGUAAUAGAAAUAUGAUAGAAAAAAUCAGACUUUAAUUUCAGCAAAUGGUACAGAAUAGGUAAUUAAAACCUGUCUUGUUUAGCUGAAUGGAGAAAAAUAAAUUUCCAGUAUACUUGUAUGAGUGUGUGUGUGUGUAUGCAUAUAUAUAUCUCUACAGAUGGAGUUUUGCAUGUGUAUGAAAAAUAUAUUUUGUUUGUUUGUCUUAGGUUUUGCUGAACUGAUUGUGAGUCUUCUGGUGCUCUUCGUUUUAGGAUAUUUUAACUUUCCACUGACAUUUGUGUACUCCCAUUUCAUUCAUCUGAUAGUUGCUUCAGUCCUUUUUUCAUUUGUGUUUUCUGUUUGGUUGUAUUUCAAAUCAUUCCAAGCUCCAACGUAUAACAUCAAUCCUGAAGCUACAACUGGGUACCAAUAUUAUGAUUUCUUUGUUGGACGAGAAGUCCAUCCUCGAAUUGGAAAGAUGUUUGACAUCAAGCUAUUUGUUCUGAAUGCUGGAAUGAUUUCUUGGGCUGUGGUGGAUGUCUGUUUGGUUUUCAAGUCUUUUAUGGACAAAGGAUGUGUUAAUUACCCACUUGCUUUGACUGCAGUUUUUCAACUAAUCUACAUUAUAAACUAUCUUUGGCAUGCUGAAUAUUUUCUCAGUUCAACAACCAUUCAAUAUGAAGGAGUUGGAUACCAGCUCAUCAUUGUUUUUUUUACCCUGACACCAUUUUUCUACUGCAUCCCAGUGUUGUAUUUGGUCAACUACAGACAGUAUGUUUCGAAUUACUGUAUUUUUGGAAUAGCUGCUCUUUAUAGUUUAGGUCUGUACAUAUACACACAAUCCAACAGAGAAAAGUACAUGUUCAGGAGAAACGCUCAUGAUCGAUCUUUAAUAAAUUUGGAAUCAAUUCCAUCUUUGAAUGGCAAGCGGCUUUUAAUAUCAGGAUGGUGGGGUUUUGUUCGUCAUCCAAAUAAGUUAGGUGAUAUUAUCAUCUUUGUCGCCUGGACUUUGCCAUGUGUUACGUGUUUGACUACGAAUUCCACGGAAAGAUGCAUAAAGAAGGUGGAGAACAGCAAGGCUUCCCGCAUGAUGUUGAUACAACGAAGAUGAAUAAUUGAUGGAGCUGAUCGAUAAAAUGUUGUUUUCCGUUACGGAUUAUUGUACGAAGGAACUCUGGUUCGAGGCUAGACAUGUGCUCUGGCGGCGAGCAAGUUCUGACGAGGUAGCUGUGGCGCCUCACCAAUGGUAUAGCUAACGAAAAGGUUAAAAGCAAACCAAUCCAGGUUUGGUGUUGAUGUAAACUAUCUGAGAAAUCAUGUUGAUCUUCACGCUAUCCCUCAUACUAACCGGGAUAAAAGGAUAACAGUAAACAUGUGAUAUUGCCUUUACACUGUAUGUCGUCAUUCAAAAAAUCAUUUGUACAGAAAGUAGAAGACUUGACAAGUGUUACUGAUCCAGUAGACAGCCCGAUAACACCAUCGUGACUUCAGCAAGUAAUU